UACUGUAUAAAUAGAGGUCAUGGUCUUGUGUUUAGCAUUCACAAACGAAACAAGUAUCAAGUACUAUUAUAGUUAUCAUGGCAGCAGCUAAAAUCUCACUUUUCCUUGGCUGCAUCAUUGCUUCAAUUCUUAUCCAAUCGAUGGGUUCGUACGCUGCUCUUCCCCAUGUGUGUACAGGGUACGCAGGGUAUGUUCCUCAUAACUGGGGAAAUGAUUGUGGCGGGACUGCUGUGGUUACUAGUUAUCAAGAUUAUGCCUACCAAACGUGCUCGUCUUGGUGUCUAAUUUCUAUGGUUCAUGUUAACCCUGAAAUCGAGGUUAGGUGUGCCCAGAUACACUAUGAGGAGGAAACAGGAAAGCACGUAUGUACUUGCUAUAGCCAAUGUCUAGACUAGACGUCCCUUGAUCUCUGCUAAAACGGAUGUUAUGUUAUGUUAUGUUAUGUUAUGCCGGUCAGUCUACCAUGGAACGCUUGCCUGUUUUAUUAAAAGCAACUUAUGCUAGCUUCAUCGCAGUUGUACAUGUUGUUGUUUGUUUGCCGUUUUGUGUUAUUGUUGUAAUGGUGGCUGCACAACUGCUUCCAAAUAAAUAAAUUGUCAUUGGCGAUUGAUCUGA